rnacentral:rRNA from 1 species
GUCUUUUUGAUUAUAAUUUAAAGUCUAAUCUGCCCAAUGAAUUAUUUUGAAUGGCUGCGGUAUUUUGACCGUACAAAGGUAGCAUAAUAAUUAGUUUUUUAAUUGAAAACUGGUAUGAAUGAUUGGACAAGAAAAUUACUGUCUCAAUUUAAUUUUUAGUAGAAUUUUAUAUUUAAGUAAAAAAGCUUAAAUAAUUUUAAAAGACGAGAAGACCCUAUAGAGUUUUAUAUUAAUUUAAUUUAAUUAAAUUUAGUAUUUAUUUUAUUAUUUAUAAAUUAAUAUUUUAUUGGGGUGAUAGAAAAAUUUAAUUAACUUUUUUUUUUAUUUUCCAUUAAUAUAUGAAUUUUUGAUCCAUUAUUUAUGAUUAUAAGAUUAAAUUACCUUAGGGAUAACAGCGUAAUUUUUUUUGAAAGUUCUAAUUGAAAAAAAAGUUUGCGACCUCGAUGUUGGAUUAAA